rnacentral:rRNA from 1 species
AGGUGGGUUCCACCACCAACGGGAGUGGCAAAGAUUAGAGUGGAUGGGGCGGUCGCAAGGAGCAGUUUGGAAGGUUCUUUCAGCGCCGUUUGUAGAGAUUCUAGUGGCCUCUUCUUAGGCGCUUCGGUUGUUAAGGUUCCAAGGAUCGUGGAUCCUGCUACUCUGGAAGCACUAGCAUGUCGGGAAGCGCUUUCACUUGCUUCAGACCUAUAUCUAUCAUGUAUAAUCAUUGCUUCCGACUGUCAGGGCGUGGUAUAUGAUAUCAACCAGGGGACAGGAGGAGUAUAUACGAGCAUUGUCAAGGAAAUAACAGAGACUGGAAGGAAUUUUGACCAUCGUGCCUUCACCUUCGAUGGUAGAUCAACACAUCUUGAGACGCACAACCUCGUAAGUACCCUUUUGGUCUUGAUUAUGGGCGCCAUUUGUGGCUUAUAA